GAUGAACGCUAGCGGGAGGCCUAACACAUGCAAGCCGAGCGGUAGAGUUUCUUCGGAAACUUGAGAGCGGCGCACGGGUGCGUAACACGUGUGCAACCUACCUUUAUCUGGGGGAUAGCCUUUCGAAAGGAAGAUUAAUACCCCAUAAUAUAAUGAUUGGCAUCAAUUAUUAUUGAAAACUCCGGUGGAUAGAGAUGGGCACGCGCAAGAUUAGAUAGUUGGUGAGGUAACGGCUCACCAAGUCAAUGAUCUUUAGGGGUCCUGAGAGGGAGAUCCCCCACACUGGUACUGAGACACGGACCAGAAUCCUACGGGAGGCAGGAGUGAGGAAUAUUGGACAAUGGGUGAGAGCCUGAUCCAGCCAUCCCGCGUGAAGGAUGACCGUCCUAUGGAUUGUAAACUUCUUUUGUACAGGGAUAAACCUACCCUCGUGAGGGUAGCUGAAGGUACUGUACGAAUAAGCACCGGCUAACUCCGUG
rnacentral:rRNA from 1 species